GUCAUCCAUAGCGUCGCUCAUCUCGUCUUGUCAGUCUGAAAUAACCCUUCACCGAUCAGAUCCGAGUCCACGUGGUGACAGACGCCUACAGCUGACGGUCAAAAGUUUCUCCCCUUUGCUCUUCCCCCCUCAGAGCCUCUGCUGGACUCCUCUGACCUCUGACCUCAGAUGCAUCUGACGGUGAGAUCCCGCUUUAGCUGACCUCUGUUGUGCUAUCUGUGCCACAUCAUUGACGCACACAGACGCUGGGCUAAUUCAGGGAUUUGAUGUGUGUCAUGAGGGCGGGAUGGGGCGAGGAUUAUAAAGGAAUGAAUGGACGGAAGGGACACAGUGUUCAUGAAUGGACAUGCAUCUCAGUGGAGCCUGAAGCGUCUUCAUCUUCAGCCUGUGAAGCUACUUCUGCAUCUCCAGCUCUCCUGAAAAAGGUCCAGGUGAACCGGAUUUUUCUCCUGACGGGAAUCAUGGAAUCUGUGUCUCACACGUUACCUCGUCCAGAUGGAUCCAUACCACGGAGAGCACUGAAGGUCCCGGCUCGGGGGGCCUCCUCACAUUUUGUGGGAUCCACCAUCGUCAUCCUCUCCUCUUACGCUGUAGCGACCAUGGCUAUGAACUGUGGGAAAAAAAUCCAGGAUCAGAGAAUAGGCACUUUGAAAAACUGAAGCAAGAACAGUUGUUCAGGAGCACUUUAGCUCUAAUGGAUCAUAAUGGGAUUGCCUUAUAACUCUGUGAAGUCUGUUUAUGUGUAUGUGCUGAUGUUAACAGCGUCUGCUGGCUCUGUCAGUGCUGCUGAAGAUAAAUGAAAACCAAUAGAGCUGAUAUGAGUAUGAUCUGUACUGUAAAGAUGUUGGUUAAAGCCACAGGACAGAAUGAAUGGAUUCAGGUCAGCAUCUGAGGAGCAUCGUUCCUGUGGAGCAGGUACAAACAUGUGUCACUAAAUAAUGUCAAAGUUUAUUUAUCUCCUUAUUUUUGUUCUGGUGUAAUAUCUAGAGAGAUCCAUUAGCAAACAUGUCAUUUCUAAAGUUAUUUGAAUAUCUAAUUUGUAAGUUAGAUAAUAAAAGCAUUUAAUAAUGUUA